CUCGAACGGACCACUUCUCUCUUUCCAUUUUCCUCAUCUCUCCAGAAGCGAAGUUUGGUUUUCAGUUUUAGGAUUUCGAUCUGAAGAAGCGAAUUUAGGGUUUCAGCCUGAAAGUGAAGUUUGGGUUUCAAUCUGAAACUGAAGAUAUUGGUUCACGGACAUUCUCAUCUACGUCAUUGAGAGUGUUCAUGUGGAAGAAAUUUACAUCAAGUUUAAGUGGUGAAGACUACAAGUUGUUAAGGGUCGAUUGAUGUCGAACUAGGAGCUUCCCCAGUUUACUGCAUGAUCAGAAGUGUAUUCCAGAACAGUGGUGCCUGGAUAAUGCAUCCAUCGUAGAUGCUAACGAUAAUGGGCAGCUAGAAAAUGGGGCAUACAACUCAUGGGUUGUCUCUACAGUGACACAAGUGGAAGAAGUAAAAAUGGUAUUGAAACUCAUCCCAAUUUGGUCGACAUGUAUACUAUUCUGGACAGUAUAUUCUCAAAUGAAAACUUUAUCAGUUGAACAAGCAACUUUCAUGAACAGACAUAUCGGUUCAUUCGUUUUCCCAUCAGGAUCAUUUUCGGUGUUUCUCACUCUAACGACAUCCCUGAUCGUAUGCGAGGAUUUAAGUAUCCGAAAAGAGAGUGCGUCGAGAAAUGAUUCUUUAUCAUGCCCAAUUUUUUUUGAGCCACUAACAAGGAAGGGACCUCCAGGUUUAAACUUGGCUAGAUAUCAAGCCAAGAGAUCUCACGUUGCUCUGUCAAAAGG